rnacentral:lncRNA from 1 species
UAAGCUUGUCCUUGGGAAACCAUCAAUUUAUGUCAGCAAAGUGGUUUCCCCUCCAACGCUGACCCAUAUCAAGAUCAACUCAACGAGAUUUGCAAUAUUUAAUAUAGAUAUAUGCAUCGACAACCGCCCUUUUAAAGUUUUUAUAAAUAGAAAGGAAGAGGGGGUUGGAGAUCUCGAAUGUGGUGAUGUUGGAGAGACCAAAAGAUUGGGAAGAUGUUGCAUAUGACCAUGGAGCAAAUGAAGUGGCUACAAAAUAAAUUCCAUGCUCAUUAAUGCUUGGAGUGAAAUCCAUGUGGUGUGGUGAAAAUGGUAAGGUGAGUGUGGUAAAAAAAGAAAAGAAAAAGGAUACAUGGACGACUU